rnacentral:rRNA from 1 species
GAUAAACGCUGGCGGCGUGCCUAAUACAUGCAAGUCGAGCGAACAGACGAGGAGCUUGCUCUUCUGAUGUUAGCGGCGGACGGGUGAGUAACACGUGGAUAACCUACCUAUAAGACUGGGAUAACUUCGGGAAACCGGAGCUAAUACCGGAUAACAUGUUGAACCGCAUGGUUCAACAGUGAAAGACGGUCUUGCUGUCACUUAUAGAUGGAUCCGCGCCGCAUUAGCUAGUUGGUAAGGUAACGGCUUACCAAGGCAACGAUGCGUAGCCGACCUGAGAGGGUGAUCGGCCACACUGGAACUGAGACACGGUCCAGACUCCUACGGGAGGCAGCAGUAGGGAAUCUUCCGCAAUGGGCGAAAGCCUGACGGAGCAACGCCGCGUGAGUGAAGAAGGUCUUCGGAUCGUAAAACUCUGUUAUUAGGGAAGAACAAAUGUGUAAGUAACUAUGCACGUCUUGACGGUACCUAAUCAGAAAGCCACGGCUAACUACGUG